UGGCUCAGAACGAACGCUGGCGGCGUGCCUAACACAUGCAAGUCGAACGAGAAAGGGGCUUCGGCCCUGAGUAAAGUGGCGCACGGGUGAGUAACACGUAGGUAACCUGCCUCUGAGAUUGGGAUAACUCGUCGAAAGAUGGGCUAAUACCAAAUAAGACCACGAAUUCUUUGGGAUCUGAGGUCAAAGGUAGCCUCUAUUUAUAAGCUAUCACUUAGAGAUGGGCCUGCGCACCAUUAGCUAGUUGGUAGGGUAACGGCCUACCAAGGCAAGGAUAAUUAGCUGGUCUGAGAGGACGGACAGCCACACUGGGACUGAGUCUCGGCCCAGAGACCUACGGGAGGCAGC
rnacentral:rRNA from 1 species